GGGACGCACUGGGCGGGGUUUCGCCGUUCCGAGGAUGUCGGGGAAGGGGGGUCACUGCCAGAUGGAGGUUCCGGUUCCGGUGCAGUGUCUGGCUGGUUGCGUUGCUACGGCAGCGCGGUUGAGCGCUCUCGUCUGUGUGAUCGGGGCUUCGCUGACUUUCCGGCCUACUUAAGCCCCUGGGCCUGGGCCCAGGAAGGGUUUGUUGAACCGGGAGCUAAGAAGGGAAUUGGCUCGUUCGACAGACGUUUUCUGCGCAGCUGUGGCGUGCAAGGCACGGGGCCGGUGCGGGACCUCCAGAGAGACCUGUGCCCAAAGCUUGAGAAAUGAGAAGCAGAUUCCUGGAUUCCAGGUAAAUCAGAGGAACAAACCUGAACAGAAAUAUACAGGAAGUGAUGUGAUGCUGAAGCUUAACGCUUAUUUCAGAAGUCUGGUAUCUGGUGCUCUUAACAGCAGAAACUAUAUUAUUUGCAAAAUCACCACGCUUUUACUUGUAUUAUAUAGUAAUUUUUUAAAAAAUAAAUAUUGACAAUUUGUUCUUGAAA